rnacentral:rRNA from 1 species
GAUCCUGGCUCAGGAUGAACGCUGGCUACAGGCUUAACACAUGCAAGUCGAGGGGCAGCAUGGUCUUAGCUUGCUAAGACUGAUGGCGACCGGCGCACGGGCGAGUAACACGUAUCCAACCUGCCGUCUACUCGUUGGACAGUCCUUCUAGAAAGGAAGAUUAAUACAAGAUGGCAUCAUGAGUCCGCAUGUUCACAUGAUUAAAGGUAUUCCGGUAGACGAUGGGG